UACGUAGGGGGCGAGCGUUAUCCGGAAUUAUUGGGCGUAAAGAGUGCGUAGGUGGUCUUGUAAGCGUGGGGUGAAAGGCAGUGGCUUAACCAUUGUUAGCCUUGCGAACUGUGAGACUUGAGUGCAGGAGAGGAAAGUGGAAUUCCUAGUGUAGCGGUGAAAUGCGUAGAUAUUAGGAGGAACACCAGUGGCGAAGGCGACUUUCUGGACUGUAACUGACACUGAGGCACGAAAGCGUGGGGAGCAAACAGGAUUAGAUACCCUGGUAGUCCACGCCGUAAACGAUGAACACUAGGUGUCGGGGUUUAAAGACUUCGGUGCCGCAGUUAACGCAUUAAGUGUUCCGCCUGGGGAGUACGCACGCAAGUGUGAA
rnacentral:rRNA from 1 species